CCUUAGCUGAAGAUAGAUUUCUCUUCAUUCUGAAAAUUUUAAAUAUGGCAGAUUCCCCAUAAUGACUCUGACAUGUGCUUUUCAUAUCUAAUGUAAAAAUAGACUCUAACUCAAGCAUAUGAUGUUUAUUUGAUUAUGAUUCUAACGCCUCUACAAGUUAGAAGUUAUCUUUAUCAGAAACUUCUCUAGUCAUAAACCUUUUGGCAUUCUUGACUCCGGAUACAUCGACACGUGGUCUCUCAAAUGUGUGGCUUUGGCUCUUUUAGACACCUGUCUAGUUCAGAACAUAAAGGUCAAUGUGUUGAGAUCCCCUCGAGCAGUGUGAAAAUCCUGAGAUUGGAAUCUCAUCAUUAGCUGCAUUUUAUUUUUCCCAUGAUUGUCAAAACUCGGUUUUUGAAACAAUUAAUUUUGUGUUCUCCUCAAGUAAUCGUUGUCGUUUUGUGCUAUAUUUCAAAUUUUGUUUAUAUACUCCCACAUUCACACUUUCACUACUCAUUACUUACACAAACUUAAAACCUUCAACCUUCU
rnacentral:lncRNA from 1 species